rnacentral:rRNA from 1 species
UGGCUCAGAACGAACGCUGGCGGCAUGCCUUACACAUGCAAGUCGAACGGCAGCGCGGACUUCGGUCUGGCGGCGAGUGGCGAACGGGUGAGUAAUACAUCGGAACGUACCCUGUUGUGGGGGAUAACUAGUCGAAAGAUUAGCUAAUACCGCAUACGACCUGAGGGUGAAAGCGGGGGACCGAAAGGCCUCGCGCAGCAGGAGCGGCCGAUGUCUGAUUAGCUAGUUGGUGGGGUAAAGGCCCACGCAAGGCGACGAUCAGUAGCUGGUCUGAGAGGACGAUCAGCCACACUGGGACUGAGACACGGACCAGACUCCUACGGGUUUCAGCAGUG